rnacentral:rRNA from 1 species
UACGAAGGGGGCUAGCGUUGCUCGGAAUCACUGGGCGUAAAGGGUGCGUAGGCGGGUCGUUUAAGUCAGGGGUGAAAUCCUGGAGCUCAACUCCAGAACUGCCUUGAUACUGAGGAUCUUGAGUUCGGGAGAGGUGAGUGGAACUGCGAGUGUAGAGGUGAAAUUCGUAGAUAUUCGCAAGACACCAGUGGCGAAGGCGGCUCACUGGCCCGAUACUGAACGCUGCGG